rnacentral:rRNA from 1 species
UCGGGAAUUUUGGGCAAUGGGCGAAAGCCUGACCCAGCAACGCCGCGUGAAGGAUGAAGUAUUUCGGUAUGUAAACUUCGAAAGAAUAGGAAGAAUAAAUGACGGUACUAUUUAUAAGGUCCGGCUAACUACGUGCCAGCAGCCGCGGUAAUACGUAGGGACCAAGCGUUGUUCGGAUUUACUGGGCGUAAAGGGCGCGUAGGCGGCAAUUCAAGUCAUCUGUGAAAUCUCCGGGCUUAACUCGGAACGGUCAGAUGAUACUGCUUUGCUAGAGUGCAGAAGGGGCAAUCGGAAUUCUUGGUGUAGCGGUGAAAUGCGUAGAUAUCAAGAGGAACACCUGAGGUGAAGACGGGUUGCUGGGCUGACACUGACGCUGAGGCGCGAAAGCCAGGGGAGCAAACGGGAUUAGAUACCCCCGUAGUCCCUGAGCGG